AAUAUUGCACACUGGGGGAAACCCUGAUGCAGCGACGCCGCGUGAGCGAAGAAGGCCUUCGGGUCGUAAAUCUCUGUCCUAAGGGAAGAAACGGACGGUACCUUAGGAGGAAGCUCCUGCGAACUACAUGCCAGCAGCCGCGGUAAUACGUAGGGGGCGAGCGUUGUCCGGAAUCACUGGGCGGAAAGGGUGCGUAGGCGGCCAAUUAAGUCAGAUGUGAAAUACCAGGGCUCAACCCUGGGGGUGCAUUUGAAACUGGAUGGCUUGAGUGCAGGAGAGGAAAGUGGAAUUCCUAGUGUAGCGGUGAAAUGCGUAGAGAUUAGGAGGAACACCAGUGGCGAAGGCGACUUUCUGGACUGUAACUGACGCUGAGGCACGAAAGCGUGGGUAGCGAACA
rnacentral:rRNA from 1 species